AGAAUCAACGCUGGCGGCGUGCCUAACACAUGCAAGUCGCACGAGAAAGGGGAGCAAUCCCUGAGUAAAGUGGCGCACGGGUGAGUAACACGUGACUAACCUACCUUUUAGUGGGGAUAACCUAGGGAAACCUGGGCUAAUACCGCAUAACACUUACGAGUCAAAGCAGCAAUGCGCUGAAAGAGGGGGUCGCGGCCGAUUAGCUAGUUGGCGGGGUAAUGGCCCACCAAGGCAGUGAUCGGUA
rnacentral:rRNA from 1 species